GCGAUCAUACCAGCACUAAUGCACCGGAUCCCAUCAGAACUCCGAAGUUAAGCGUGCUUGGGCGAGAGUUGUUGCACCUAAUUUUUAUUUUUAUUUAUAUUUUUUUUUGGGAAUAAAAAUGUGUUAUCAGUG
rnacentral:rRNA from 1 species